rnacentral:antisense_RNA from 1 species
GUAGGAGUGAGCCUGCUCGCGAUAGCGGUCUUUCAAGCACAUUGAUGUUGCAUGUGCUGACCUCAUCGCGAGCAGGCUCACUCCUAC